CGGAAUGCGUGGUGUAGCGGUGAAAUGCAUAGAGAUCACGCAGAACUCCGAUUGCGAAGGCAGCUUACUAAGGUAUAACUGACACUGAAGCACGAAAGCGUGGGUAUCAAACAGGAUUAGAUACCCUGGUAGUCCACGCAGUAAACGAUGAUUACUAGGAGUUUGCGAUAUAGUGUAAGCUCUACAGCGAAAGCGUUAAGUAAUCCACCUGGGGGGUACGCCGGCAACGGUGAAACUCAAAGGAAUUGACGGGGGCCCGCACAAGCGGAGGAACAUGUGGUUUAAUUCGAUGAUACGCGAGGAACCUUACCCGGGAUUGAAAUGUAGACGACGGAGAGUGAGAGCUUUCUUCCCUUCGGGGCGUCUAUGUAGGUGCUGCAUGGUUGUCGUCAGCUCAUGCCGUGAGGUGUCGGCUUAGGUGCCAUAACGAGCGCAACCCUGACUGUCAGUUGCUAACAGGUAAAGCUGAGGACUCUGGCGGGACUGCCGGCGUAAGCUGUGAGGAAGGUUGGGAUGACGUCAAAUCAGUACGGCCCUUACAUCCGGGGCGACACACGUGUUACAAUGGCAGGGACAAAGGGCAGCUACCGGGCGACCGGAUGCCAAUCUCCAAACCCUGUCUCAGUUCGGAUCGGAGUCUGCAACUCGACUCCGUGAAGCUGGAUUCGCUAGUAAUCGCGCAUCAGCCAUGGCGCGGUGAAUACGUUCCCGGGCCUUGUACACACCGCCCGUCAAGCCAUGGGAGCCGGGGGUACCUGAAGUCCGUAACCGCGAGGAUCGGCCUAGGGUAAAACUGGUGUCUCGGCUAAGUCGUAACAAGGUAGCCGU
rnacentral:rRNA from 1 species